CACCAGGUUGAUUCUGCCUGACGUAGACGCUAUUCCCUAAGAUUAACCCAUGCAUGUUUUUGACAUUUGAAAAAUGGACUGCUCAGUAAUACUCACUUAAUUUUAUGUACAUUUGAAACUAACUACGUUAAAGUGUAGAUAAGAUGUGUACAGUAAGAGUGAGACCUAUCAGCUAGUUGUUAAGGUAAUGGCUUAACAAGGCAGUGACGGGUAACGGUAUUACUUUGUAAUAUUCCGGAGAAGGAGCCUGAGAGACGGCUACUAAGUCUAAGGAUUGCAGCAGGGGCGAAACUUGACCUAUGGAUUUUAUCUGAGGCAGUUAUGGGAAGUAAUAUUAUAUUGUUUCAUAUUUUAAAAAUAUAUGAGGUGAUUAAUUGGAGGGCAAAUCAAGUGCCAGCAGCCGCGGUAAUACUUGUUCCAAGAGUGUGUAUGAUGAUUGAUGCAGUUAAAAAGUCCGUAGUUUAUAUUUAAGAAGCAAUAUGAGGUGUACUGUAUAGUUGGGAGAAAGAUGAAAUGUAACGACCCUGACUGGACGAACAGAAGCGAAAGCUGUACACUUGUAUGUAUUUUUUGAACAAGGACGUAAGCUGGAGGAGCGAAGAUGAUUAGAUACCAUUGUAGUUCCAGCAGUAAACUAUGCCGACGAUGUGAUAUGAUAUAUUUUGUAUUACAUAAUAGAAAUUAGAGUUUUUUGGCUCUGGGGAUAGUAUGAUCGCAAGAUUGAAAAUUAAAGAAAUUGACGGAAGAAUACCACAAGGAGUGGAUUGUGCGGCUUAAUUUGACUCAACGCGAGGUAACUUACCAAUAUUUUAUUAUUUUGAGACGAUUUUUAAUCAGAGAAUGAUAAUAGUGGUGCAUGGCCGUUUUCAAUGGAUGCUGUGAAGUUUUGAUUAAUUUCAACAAGACGUGAGACCCUUUUAUUAUAGACAGACACAAUCAGUGUAGGAAGGAAAGGAUUAAAACAGGUCCGUUAUGCCCUCAGACAUUUUGGGCUGCACGCGCAAUACAAUAGAUAUAUAAUCUUUAUGGGAUAAUAUUUUGUAAGAGAUAUUUGAACUUGGAAUUGCUAGUAAAUUUUAUUAAAUAAGUAGAAUUGAAUGUGUCCCUGUUCUUUGUACACACCGCCCGUCGCUAUCUAAGAUGAUAUAUGUUGUGAAAUUAGUGAAAACUACUUGAACAAUAUGUAUUAGAUCUGAUAUAAGUCGUAACAUGGUUGCUGUUGGAGAACCAUUAGCAGGAUCAUAAUGAAUAAAAAAAUAUUUUGUAGAUUAGAUUAUUUUUGCCCACACAUGGGAUCAAUAGGAUACCAUAACGAUGAAGGUCGUAAUAGAAUACGAAAGAGUAUUUACCGAAUUAAUAUAUUUAUAUAUUGAUUACCCUUUGAACUUAAGCA
rnacentral:rRNA from 1 species